GGAUAGUAUUAGACUAGUGACAGUUGCAGAAGAGGAAUCAGUCAGGAGCUAUUAACAGUUUAAUUGAUUAUUUAAUGUGAUUUGUGUUUUGUGUAAUGCAUAGUGAGACAAGUGAGAGUUACUAAAGAGAGAGACAAGUGAGAGUUACUAAAGAGAGAGAAUAAGUGAGAGUUACUAAAGAGAGAUAAGAAUAAGUGAGAGUUAGUAAAGAGAG